UUGCUAUGAAUAUCGAGCUGUAUUCGAAUGUACGAGAACAUGUCUUAAGGCUGAUGCAGUUACUUCAAGGAAACCCACCUGUAGUUACUGCUUUGGUAGGCUCGUCGUCAGAGAAAAA
rnacentral:ribozyme from 1 species